rnacentral:rRNA from 1 species
GUGCCAGCCGCCGCGGUAAUACAGGGGGUGCAAGCGUUGCUCGGAAUUACUGGGCGUAAAGCGUGCGCAGGCGGUCCGUCAAGUCGGGGGUGAAAACCCGGGGCUCAACCCCGGAAUUGCCUCCGAAACUGCCGGACUUGAAUACGAGAGAGGGUCGCGGAAUUCUUGGUGUAGAGGUGAAAUUCGUAGAUAUCAGGAAGAACACCAGUGGCGAAAGCGGCGACCUGGCUCGAUAUUGACGCUCAUGCACGAAAGCGUGGGGAGCAAACAGGAUUAGAAACCCCAGUAGUCC